GAUGAACGCUGGCGGCGUGCCUAAUACAUGCAAGUCGAGCGAACGGACGAGAAGCUUGCUUCUCUGCUGUUAGCGGCGGACGGGUGAGUAACACGUGGAUAACCUACUUCUAUUACUGGGAUAACUUCGGAAAACCGGAUCUACUACCGGCUAAUAUUUUGAACCGCUUGUUUCAAAAGUUAAUGCCGGUCUUCCUGUCUCUUUUAGCUGGAUCCGCGCUGCAUUAGCUAGUUGGUAAGGUACCGCCUUACCAAGGCAACGAUGCAUAGCCGACCUGAGAGGGUGAUCGGCCACACUGGAACUGAGACACGGUCCAGACUCCUACGGGAGGCAGCAGUAGGGAAUAUUCGGCAAUGGGCGAAAGCCUGACGGAGCAACGCCGCGUGAGUGAUGAAGGUCUUCGGAUCGUAAAACUCUGUUAUUAGGGAAGAACAGAUGUGUAAGUAACUGUGCACAUCUUGACGGUACCUAAUCAGAAAGCAACGGCUAACUACGUG
rnacentral:rRNA from 1 species